rnacentral:lncRNA from 1 species
GAGUUGGCCGUCAAGCUGUGUUCUAUAAAGUCAUCUAGGGAUCUUGGCUGAGAAGGGCAGUUCUGUCAUCCUUCACCGCGACUUCUACAGUUGCUUCCAGCCAGCAGGAAGGAAGGAGAGAUGGUCAUCUUGGAAGAGCUUCUUUAAACAGAUGACUGGAACGUUGCACUUGUACAGGAAGUUUGGCUGGAUGUUCAGUAUUCAUGAAGCCCAGCGAUCUGCACUAAAUACAAGGCACAGUUAUGGGCAUGGUAAUAAGACACAGUGCUUGACUUAGAGAGAUCCAGAGUCUCAUCUGAAUGGGAGAAGAACAAACACCACAAUAUGACAGAAAGAUAGUGUGAAAGACUGUUAUUAUGUAAGUAUACACAAAUCCAGAAGGCAGCAAGUGUAACUAUGUGAAGAGGAAAAAAGGAAAGAUUAGUAGGGAAGAGAGUUAUUAAG